AUUUUGGACAAUGGGGGAAACCCUGAUCCAGCCAUUCCGCGUGUAUGAUGACGGCCUUCGGGUUGUAAAGUACUGUUGGCAGAGAAGAAGAGGUAUCCCCUAAUACGGGAUACUGCUGACGGUCUCUGCAUAAUAAGCUCUGGCUAACUACGUGCCAGCAGACGUGGUAAUACGUAGGGUGCAAGCGUUAAUCGGAAUUACUGGGCGUAAAGCGUGUGUAGGCGGUUCGGAAAGAAAGAUGUGACAUCCCAGGGCUACACCUUGGAACUGCAUUUUUUACUGCCGAGCUAGAGUAUGUCAGAGGGGGGUAGAAUUCCACGUGUAGCAGUGAAAUGCGUAGAAAUGUGGAGGAAUACCGAUGGCGAAGGCAGCCCCCUGGGAUAAUACUGACGCUCAGACACGAAAGCGUGGGGAGCAAACAGG
rnacentral:rRNA from 1 species